UCAUUUUAAUUUUUAACUCUAUUUGUUGUUAUAUUACUUUUUUUUUGUUCUUUUUUAUGUUUUUUUUUGUAAAAUAUUUUGAUUUUUUUGUAUUUUUUUGUAAUAUUUAAAAUUUGGUUUUUGAACUGGAUUAGUACCCAGGUAAUCAAAGUUUAUUAAUUCGGGAGUAAAGUUUUGUUUAAACCGAAAAAAUAUUGACUGACUUUAGAUUUUUCUUUGGAAUAUGUGUUUUUGGAGAGCCCUCUUUUUUGGUGAAUUUUAUUGGCACAUGUAUGAUUGUUUAGUUUUUAUUUUAUUUGUGUUGCUUUUUUGUUUUUUUGCAUUUAAAACAGAUAUAUAUUUGGCUUAUAAAUUUAUUUUUC
rnacentral:rRNA from 1 species